CAUGUCCUUUUGAUUUUAAUAUAAGGUUUAACCUGCUCAAUGAUUUAUAAAUAGCCGCAGUAUUUUGACUGUGCAAAGGUAGCAUAAUAAUUAGUUUCUUGAUUAGGAACUGGAAUGAAUGGUUGGACAAGAAAAUUACUGUCUCUUUUUUAAUAUUUUUGAAUUUUAUUUUUAAGUGAAAAAGCUUAAAUUUUUAUAAAAGACGAGAAGACCCUAUAGAGUUUAAUAUUUUUUUUAUUAAUAAAUUAUUAGUAAUUAAAUUUUUAUAAGGAAUAUUUGAUUGGGGUGAUUAAUAGAAAAAUAUAAUUCUCUUAAAAUUUAAUUGAUAAUUUUCAAUUUUUUUUUAUCUAAAUUUUUUAAAAUUAAAACAAAUUACCUUAGGGAUAACAGCGUAAUUUUUCUUUAAAGUUCUUAUUAAAAGGAAAGUUUGCGACCUCGAUGUUGGAUUAAAAUUAAUUUUUGGUGCAGUAACUGAAAAAUUAGGUCUGUUCGACCUUUAAAAUUUUACAUGAUCUGAGUUUAAACCGGUGUGAGCCAGGUUGGAUUCUAUCUUUAGAAAUUUAUUAUAUUUUAGUACGAAAGGACCAAAUAUAAAUUAUAAUAAUUG
rnacentral:rRNA from 1 species